UAGCAUAUCAAUAAGCGGAGGAAAAGAAACUAACAAGGAUUCCCCUAGUAACUGCGAGUGAAGCGGGAAGAGCUCAAAUUUAAAAUCUGGCGGUUCUGCCGUUCGAGUUGUAAUCUGGAGAAGUGUUUUCUGUGCUGGACCGUGCAUAAGUGUCUUGGAAUAGGACGUCAUAGAGGGUGAGAAUCCCGUCUUUGGCACGGACUACCAGUGCUCUGUGAUACGCUCUCAAAGAGUCGAGUUGUUUGGGAAUGCAGCUCAAAAUGGGUGGUAAAUUCCAUCUAAAGCUAAAUAUAGGCGAGAGACCGAUAGCGAACAAGUACCGUGAGGGAAAGAUGAAAAGCACUUUGGAAAGAGAGUUAAACAGUACGUGAAAUUGUUGAAAGGGAAACGCUUGAAGUCAGUCGCGUUGUCCAGGACUCAACCUUGGUUCUCCAUGGUGUAUUUCCUGGUUAACGGGUCAACAUCAAUUUUGAUCGGUGGACAAAGGCAGGGGGAAUGUGGCACCCUCGGGUGUGUUAUAGCCCCUUGUCGUAUACACUGGUUGGGAUUGAGGAUAUCACGCCCUCGGCGGUAGGAUGUUGGCAUAAUGGCUUUAAGCGACCCGUCUUGAAACACGGACCAAGGAGUCUAACAUGCCUGCGAGUGUUAGGGUGGUAAACCCUUGCGCGUAAUGAAAGUGAAAGUUGGGACCUCUUUGAGGGCACCGACGCCCGGCCUUGAACUCUUGUGACGGUGCUGCGGUAGAGCAUGUAUGUUGGGACCCGAAAGAUGGUGAACUAUGCCUGAAUAGGGCGAAGCCAGAGGAAACUCUGGUGGAGGCUCGUAGCGAUUCUGACGUGCAAAUCGAUCGUCAAAUUUGGGUAUAGGGGCGAAAGACUAAUCGAACCAUCUAGUAGCUGGUUCCUGCC
rnacentral:rRNA from 1 species